GAGUAAUGAUAUAGUAAAAAAAGCUAAAUUGAAUAACGUGAGACUUGAUUUUAGGAUGAAAUCUAGGGUUAAUAUCUAAUAUUUUUUUUACUCGAUUUCGGUGGAUUUACAAGUUCCUCCAAUAAUAAAAUUAGAAGGAAGCAAAAAUGAAAGAAGAUGGAUUUUCGAUGAAGAGAAAUUAGAAGAAUGAGAAUAAUUAAGCUAGUGCUGUGUAUUAGUAGCGGUAGCGAAGAAAGUGGGCAUGUGAUUUCUAGCGAUGACGACGACGGUGGCGAUUGUUGCGGAAGGCGUAUCGAUAUUCAUGAUUUUUGGAUGUUCUUCGUAGAGAAAAGAGGAAGAGGAAGAGGAAGUAGGGUGUUUCCAGAAGGGAACAAGCAAAUAAAAUCAAUGAGGUGAGGAUGAGAAAUAGAGUUAAGCCAAAGAGAUAAGGUAUCAGAGUAUGACCAUCAAGUCAUCCCUAACUCAAUUCUUGUAGCUUCUCUGUUUUGUUCUCCACUUGAGCUCAUCCAUUUUGCACGCUCAGAUCUGAGCCGCUUUGCCUCCGUCCAAGCUAGACUUGAGCCGUCGAGCCAUACUUAGUUCUUCUUUGCACGCCAUCUUUUGACUUGAUUUGUGCAUUGUCGUUUCUUUGCACGCCAUCUUUUGACUUGAUUUGUGCAUUGUCGUUUUUGGUGUUGCACAAAUGUGAUUCGGGAGAAAAUUGGUAAAAAGAUGAACAUAUGAAUUUUCGAACUUUCCUUAAUUUUUGGCAGCGUAAUGACAAAUUUUCUAAUCUUUAUGUUUUUUGGAAAAAAAUAUUUAUGUAGCAUAUGUUAUUGUAAUUAUAGUGGAUUUAAGAUUUAAGUAAACAAUUGUAUUUUUUAGAUUGGGUAGGGGCAUUUAAGAGAUUAGUUAACUAAUAAUUUGCUAUUCUCGAUGAUCACCCUGAUUAAAAAGAAAGGACGGACCCAAAACUACCCUAAUUUUGUCAAAGAGAGUAACCAAACACUUGGGAACUAGUUUUUGGGCUUCUCUUUAUUUUUAAAUUUCGUUUUAAAAAAUUAUUAACAUAUGAUACAAAUUACAUUUUCCAAGGUAAGAAGUUUUAAAUUUUGUAUUCAAAUUUAAAAAUUUGAAAAUUUUAAAUACAAAGCCUAACAUGUUUUCAAAUGCAAUAAAACAUGUUCUCUUUCAUAUUUCAUUAAUAUUUAACUUGGAUUAUGGAAAAGUAAACCGACUUUAAUUAAAAUACCACAAAAAACUUUGAGUAUAGAUCAUCAUCAAAUGUUGAAAUUUUAAUGUCCAUAGUAAACCAACCCUCUAAUAAAUGUAGAUACAUAUCAAUAGUCAUUAUAUAUAGAGAAUGGUUCAUUGAGAAGUGAAUACAUUAGUAAAGGUGGUUUGAAUUGUUGCAAUGGAAUCAACAGCAGACUUUGUAAGCCAACUGAUCCCCACUUUAACCCUAUGCUCAUCCGUUGGUAGUCUUAUCAAGUAUGCUAUUUUUCUUGCUGCCAAAAAAAUAAAAAUUCAUCAUAUUAACUUUAUAAGUUGUUAAGUAUGAUAUUAGUCUAUAUUUGGAGGUUGUUCUAAAUCUGCACUAUUAUUCCUUAACUAUUGCUUAUCAUAUUCCAUUUUUUAAACCCAAUGGUUGAAUUCUUAAUCAAAUUUCAAAAACAAAAACAAAUUUUUUAAAGCUAUUAUUUUUGUUGUCAAAAUUUGACUUGGUAGAGAGUAGAUAACAAAGGAAGAAAGUUGGAGAUGGUUGUUUAAUUUUCAAGAACAAAAUCAAAAUGAUUGUCAAAUGAGCCUAAAAAUUUCAAAGUCACUGUUACCUUAAAAGUGUAUUCUAGCCUUAAAAUAAGGUAAGACUACCUUAAAGCACUUUAGGACACUAAGAAAACACAUCACUUCAAGUAUAGAAAACUCUCCAGAGUAUACAACUGAAUAUCAAAGUGACAAGUCAUUUAAAUACGAUAUUUCUGAGGAUUUAUAAUAAAAAGUUUGGGCUAAAGAUUUCUUCAAAGUAGUUUUUAAUGUAACAUUAUGAUCUAAAAGGUCUAUGGAAUUGUGUAUACAAGUUGUUAGAAUAUUAGUUUUAGGGGUUGUUUCAAGUGUAGUAUUAUUCCACUAAUCAUAAUGAACCUGCUUGAAUCCUAUAAGUAAAGGCUUAUUGGCUCAUUAAUCAAUUAUCAAACUUAGAUCUUUAAAGAGAUGAUAUAUACCUGCAUGACCGAUCGGACCUUCCAAGGUUAAACCUUCAAUGAAACUUGGAGAAACUGAUGCGUCAUUUCUUCCCAAAGUCAUCAUCUCUCCUAAAUUCUGAUAUCUACAAAAACAAAUAAACAAAUUACAGCAAAGUAAAUACUACUCAACUUGCACAUUUAUCGACUUAACUUUAUCUUCUUAUUUUUUUAUAUUUUUCACAUUUACGCAAGAACUCAAUCUUCCCAUCUAUGUCUACUUUUUACAUUUACCAAAAAUUUCACUUUACUUUCCUAAUUUACUUUUUACAAUUCUCAAGGAAUUCGACUUUACAAUUCUACCUCAAACACAAGCUUACUAACUACAACAUAUUAACUCCAUUUAGUGGGCCAAAUGCCCCCAACUGUUUUUUUUGUCCCUGUUUAAAAUAUUUCAAACUACUUUAGAUUCGCAAAACCUUUAAAUUGUGAUUUUAGAAAAUAAAAGUACUUAAUUUACUGCUGUUAAAAGUUUAACCAAAUAAAUUUUAAAAGAACACUUUUAAGACUGAUUUGGAACGACUUUCAAGUCAUUUUACAAACGCUUGAAAAGUAAUUCCAAACAAGUACUUAGUCCCUAUAAAUACUGUCAAAGGCGUGUAUUGGAAAAGAAAAUAUGUUCAUGAAAGUUGAGAAAAGCUAAUUUGGUACCAAGAGAUCGAAAUUUCGAACCUAAAGGGCAAAAGAGAACGGUUGUUGAUAGCAGCCCAGAGAUUCCAACCAACGAAGUCUGCUUGCUGGAAAGCAACCUGCUUGGAGAACAAGAAGAAUAUCUUUAACUUUGAAGAAAAUGUAUUAAAAAAAAUGAAAACAUAAAAUAAAAGACAAACGUAAAGUAGGGAAAAUUGAAGAAAGGCUAUGGAAGCUGUUUGGAUAUUGGAUAAACAUGUGUUGUUUUAUUGGUUCAAACUAGCUUCUCUCCACGAACACUUUUUUUUCUUUAAAAGGAAAUAGAACUUACUGUGAGAAACAAUUAAGAGAAAACAACAAAAAGCAAAUACUUAAAACCUAACAAAUCAAUUACAGACAAGAAACUCAAAACUAGAGAACACAUUCGAACCGUUUGGGACGAGGAUUAUGCAAGACUAUAAUAAUCACCACUAGUUAUAGUAAAUUCUAUUUAAAAAUUCUCAAUUAGCUACAGUAAAAACUAUUUCAAGACACCCCAUCUACUACUAUUUGCUACAGUUUUACUAUUUGACAUUCAUCAUUUUACUACAGUAUUUAUUAUUUCUUUCUUAACCUAAAAUAAUCUACCCAACAAACAUAUACUAAUAUAACCCAAACUAAAAUAAUAUACAAUUCAAAUACAAACUUUUUAACUAAACUAUAAUAACUCACUCUUUACCCGAAACGUCACCUAACCUUUAAAGCCAGCCAACUUAAGACAAUCCAGGAAAGGAAGGAAGUACUAUAAGACCAAAAGUGAGAGGAUCAAACAACAAAGCGAACCAACUUCUAAAUUAUGGCUGCCAAGCUUGUAAAUAGUAGGAAGAAACAUUUCUUAAGGUCAAAAUGGUGAGGUUAGUCGAAAAACAAGAGAAUUCUGUUAGGAUACUUUUUAAUAAAAACAAGAUCUAAAUUUAUUAUUAUGUAACUGUUGAAUGAGAAAUUUUAAACUAAUCACAAAUUGCCCUGUCAUUUACCAAACUAAGGAUAAAAAUACAAAUAAAUGAAUUUGGACUAAUUAAAAUUUGACAUGUGUCCCAAACUUAAUUUCAAGGGGAUCAUAAAUUUUAUACUUGAGAGGUAUAGAAAGAAUUUUCCACAGUCAGAAGACUCUAAUCCUAAAGUUGAUCACACUUGAAGACGCAAGUUUCUUUAGAUACAAACUUUCUUUUCUUCAAAACUUCAACUUCAAGAACAUCACGUGCUUUGCUUUCUCCAAUCAAGCACACAUUCAAACACAGAAAAUCAGCAGAUCAACAAGCUAGAAGCUAAUCCAAGAAAAUCAACAAGCCAGAAGCUGAUCCAAGCAGAUCAAACAAGCUAGAGACUGGUCCAAGCAGAUCAACCAGCCAGGCCAAUUCAAGUCAAUCAUCAACAAGGCAAAAGUUGAUCCAAGUAGAUCAAUAAGACAAAUGUCAAUCUUAGUUGGUCAACAAGCCAAAGGCCGAUCCAAGUAGAUCUACAAUGAGAAGUUCAUCUAAGUUGAUCAACAAAUGCAAGGUUGAUCCAAGCUGAUCAACAAGCUAGGAGUCGGUUCAAGGUGAUCAACAAUCAGACUAGAAUGCUGAAUCUAUCUACUAACAAUAAAACACACUCCUACUAAUCAUCUACUCAUACUCUAAUUUUUCUCUAAUGUUAUCUUGCAAUACUGUGUGAACACAUAAACAAAUUUAUAUUAUCCUGCAUUGGAGUUGGACGUUAAAAGUAAAUUUAGCACAUAUCUUAUUAGUUUAUCAAUUGCUCAAAUAAAACGUGAGACAAACAUAUAUUAUUGUCCCCUCAACUAUAUUAUAUCUGCAUGUAAUAUUCUCAAUAAAAAAAAUAAGCAUCCAAGUUUAAUGCAUCAGAUCAUGAUUGCAUUUCAUACCUGUGCAGUGGCAGGAAGAGGUCGUCCGUUUGGAUCUCUUAAGGCAGAGGAGUCACCAAGAGCAAAUAUUCGUGGAUGACCCCUAACACGAAGAGUUUCGUCGGU
rnacentral:lncRNA from 1 species